rnacentral:lncRNA from 1 species
CAUCGUGACGCCAAAUUCAAGAAUAUUCAUGCGUAAAGAACAUACUUUUCUUUCCCGUCGUAUCUUAAAAUGACAGAAUGCUCAGAUACUGACCCACAAAAGGAUGCCACUCCAAGAUCAGGUAUCAAAAUCAACCACAAUUAGUGAGAAUGUAAUUGCAGUGAAUGAGCAGUGAUGAAAGAGGAAAUUGAACGAGAAGGCGUCUGACAAUGAGUCAAGAAACCGAUAAAAAAAAGAAUAAAUAAAUAAAAGGCAGAAACCCGGCUGUUUUUAGAGCAUAAUCGCUGCAAAGUGGACCCGAUAAGUGCCCGCGAAGGGGGGAGAGGGGGCAACGGAUACCGCGACGCGACCCCACCUUCUACUUAACACCUAUUUUAUACCUCAGUGUUUAUACUAAUAAUCUUAUAUCUUCGCUCCGCAACGGGAGCGGGCCAGGCAGUUGCCGGCCGUCGCGCGAACGCGAAGCGUGUAUCAGAACGUGCGUCUCCACGCCCGAUGACGUUAGAGGCUUUAGUGACUAAUAACGAUUAGCGCCGUCUAUUGUUCCCUAAAAUUCUAUUAUGGGUCCCAGUUUUUUCGGGUGACGGUAGUGCACGCGAUGGUCGUCUAUUUCCCGAUACGAUCCCUCAGUUUACAGCGAUAAUGAAGUCGCCGUAGUGAACCUUACUAAAAAUGAAUGUGCAGUUUCCGGUUUUGUUUGGAUUGUUUACGCAUUCCUCGAUGAAAAAUUCCAUCGGAUGUUUCAACGAGGUAUCGUUGGAUAAUUUAAGUGCUAUAUCCUUCCUGAAGAAUUCCCAGUUAUUCACGAAUUACCCAUAGAUGCUUCAAGAAUAAUGCCGUGUUAUUUGUGAGGGAUUAGACAUUUCAAGUGCGCAGCUGACUCCGAGUGGCCUCUCAGCGAGAACCCGCUCAAUUAACAUCCGUCGAUUUCAGGUGAGUGUUAUAGUUUCAUGAUGUCUAAAGCUUUUUCAUCGAGAGGCCGCCUGAACGGAGGUGGAAUAAUUUAGUCAUUUAAGUCACGGAUUUUGUGGUC